CACGUUUCAAUAAACUUCUCUGUCUUCCCCGACUCUCUCUCUCUCUCUCUCUCGCCCUCUCUCUCAAUACUCCCUUAUCUCUCACUCUAUCCUUUCCCUCACACCUUCGCCACCUUCCUCUCCAGGAAGAUGUCGUCGCUAGCCAAGCCUUCUCUCACCGCCUACUCCACUCCUAGGUCUGCCUACCCCAACUUCCUUGCUAACCUGCGCGCAUUUACACGCACCCCAUUCCUCGUUGCCGUGUCAAAUCCCCGCAAGCUGUUACCAGAGAUGCAGAUCCUUGUCGAUGUGGGCCCUGCAAAGUAGACUUUUGGGAUUUUGGGGUUUUCAGCAAGACGACGCAAUCUCCCACUAGCUCUCUCUUUUUAACUCUACAAUUGUGCAUAUAUGGCCAUGACUGCUCAGACCCAGGAAUAGCUCCUUGCCGCCCAUCUCAAAUAGCAAACCAUCGAUGUGAUGCUUUUAUCAGGGGGUAUUCUGUGAGCAAGCUUUUGAAUCUGCCAUCGCAUUAUGCAGCUGGUUUGAUAUUGGUUGCGUGCUGCGCGGUGGAACAACAAGUAACAUUGUCACUUAUAUCGCACGGUCCAAAUUGUCUAUUUCAAAAAAUAUUUCUGUGUAAGCAGCAUGUGGUACUCAUCGCACUCCUCCAUGGUGCGAGCAAUAAAGUUUAGGCAAGUUCAAUAAGUAUAGUUAUCUUCCUAGAUAAUACAUAGAUCUAUGUAUUUCAGCAAUGAAUGUAGAAGGCAUUCUCGCUGCAGGUUUUGUAUCUUUGUAAAGAAACAUAUCAAUUUAGGGCUUAAAAUCCUAAAGUCCACCUUAAUCUGAUAAAUGUUAGUUAAAGAUUAUGAAACAGGUUUUUGUAUAAAUCACUCAUUUUCUGAUUUAUUUAUCCUUCUGUUUUUUGUUUUUGUUUUUGUUUUUUUCAUUGAUUGUUUAUAUACUGCUUUUGAAUUAAAUAUCAAGUGCCCCAAUUGUUGUUUAUUUGAAAACUGUGGCUCCCUGUUGCUUUUGGCUUAUCAAUCAUUCAAGUUAAUCAAACUUGUGUAGAAGUAAAAUCUUAAAAAAAAUUUCAUCACAGUAUUGUGAUUAGCUGCUUAGGCAAUGAGUUGAGUAGGGAUGAGUUUUCUUGCUUGCCUAUCCGAAUCGAAUUUCUUGCUGCAGUUUUCUUGAGAUUAUAUUGAAACUACUAGAUUCCUUGAUUAGUUCACAUCACAGCUGCUUUUGUGUUUUUUAAUUCCAUAUGUGCAUUUGCAAUAGUGAUAAGUAAUCAUAAAUUUUCUCUUUGAUAAGGAGUUAUAAGCUAAUACGGUGGUCGAUCUUGGUGGUUCUGUAGCUAUCAACAAUGUCGAAUUCACAAAAUCAUGUAAGACCCAAGGCUCUGCAUCCCAGUACAAGCAUACCAGCAAUGAGGAGUCAUACCAAUAUAUUGUAAGAUCAAAACCUGUGCAAGAUUCUGGUGCAGGUUAUGAUGAAAAAUUGGUUGAAAUGAUAAAUAGUGCCAUAGUGGAUAGAAGUCCUUUAGUUAAAUGGGAAGAUGUUGGUGAGAAGAUUAUAGCAUACCUUGAUUUCUUGUGUGAAAUCCUGAAAAAAAAAAUUUCUUUUUCUUUUUUGUUAAUCUGUUAUAUAUUUUACCUAAAGUUGUUUUUAGGAUGAGUUCUUUUACCUAAGGUUAUUUUUUUUGUUAUUGAUAAAGCUAGUUAGUUUUUAGAUUAAGGUUAUUUUUGUUUAUUAAGCAUCAGUGGAUGCUAGCUUCACGUGUUUGAAACCUAGAAGCCACCUAGCUCAAGGUCUUAUCUCUUUCACUGUUUGACUUUCAUCUUUCUUUCUUUUUUUUUCUAUUUUUCUUCCCCAUCGAGAUACUUAUUUGGGAUGAGUAGGUUAGUUCUGUUUUUCUUUUUUUGAGACUGCGGAUUGAAGAGAAAACAAGGAGAAGAACUAAACUUCUUUCCGAUUUGGGUUUUAAGAAGCUCAGUUAUUAAGUUGAGGUAGGUAGGGCUUGAAAGGAGUUCUGUUGGGCAUUGGUGGCUGGAUAAUAUAGGAAAGGCUUUUCAAGAAGGAAAAAUUAUGAAUGUAUGGGUUCUAGGCAACUAGCAGGCUUGUUCAUAUCUCUUUGGCUCUAUGAGAAUCAGAGUCUAUGAUCAGAUAAUGUGCUUUGUGAACUGUCACUUGGCUACACAUUUGGAAGCUGUCAAUCAACGCAAUGCUGAUUUGAUCACAUGUAUCCAAAUAUGGUCUUCAAUCGGUCAUCUCUACCCUAACACAAGAGCUGGAGUAUGUUAAGAACUCCUUGUUUCCACACUCUCUUUCUUCUUGUCUCAAGGUAUUCCUCCUCAACCUAACAACAAGGAGUGUGGCUACUUUAUCAUGCGAUACAUGAGAGACAUCAUUGAGGAUAAAGACUUUUCAUUUGUUAACAAGUGGGAGAGGAGAAGCAACCAAGUUUAUACCCAAGUGGAUAUUGAUGAGAUGAGGAAUGAGUGGGCUAGGUUUGUGGUUAAUAGAUAUGUGUAGAAGCCAUCGCAUAUGUUUUUGGAAAACAUGAUGAAUUUUUGCUUGUGCUGAUAGAUAUCGAUCACAUGAAACAAUUAUCAGCUUUUGAUUCAUGCAUGCAUUGGUCUAGCUAGACUAGGAAUGCUUUCUUUGUUUGUUUGGUAGUUUAAUUAUCUACUUUGGAUGUUUAGUUGUACUUGACUUAUAUAGUUACACUAAUGAUAUGGAUCAAUGUGGCUUUA